GAAAUCAGUGAUGAUGGACGAUGGGGAUGUUAAGGUUGGUGGUGAUAGUGAGGCCUCCCUUUAUCAAACUAGACCAAAAGUGUCAAUGGAUAACGAUGGACUGGAGUAUGAGGUGCAUGUGGUNNNNNNNNNNGAUGAUGAGAGGUCGGAGGAGCACAGAAAUGCCGGAUUCAGGCGAGGAGGUGGUUUGCGGGAUGUGUCUCAAGUUGCUUUCGAAAUCAAGAUUCUAUUUGAGAGAGCUUCUGAUUCUGGGAAAG
rnacentral:misc_RNA from 1 species